rnacentral:tRNA from 6 species
GUCCGUGUAGCUCAGUGGUAGAGCGCCUGCUCGACACGCAGGAGGACCGAGGUUCGAAACCUCGCAUGGACAC